rnacentral:tRNA from 1 species
GCCAGCAUGGCAUAGCGGUUUGAGUGUUGGACUACAACUCUGGAGACCAGGGUUCGAUUCUUCGCUCGGCCA